UUCUCACUCAUUGUUCUGGAAAAAUUGCAAAUUGUAUGCAAAGGAGGCCUGAAGUUCCUUUUACCUUCACAAAAAAAACAACUUUCCAACGGCGAAAACUUCAGGCUGGGUUGCUGAAGUUGCGCCCUGGAUCGAUCACAGCUGAUUAAAGCCAGCGACAGCCCAAGACAAGUGGACUAGCAGACCAGAUCCAGAGCACCCCACCAGGCUGACUUUGAGGCACAAUGUCAACAAAAACCAGGACCAAGACCAACCCAGUUCCGUUUCAAAUGUGACGAAUCUGAGGACUCAUCAAGCCCUGCUCUAGUCACACAACUGGAAGCUGACUAGUCAACACAUGGCCGAAGCUUGAGGAGUCUUUAUUGGAUAAGCUGGCGGCCAUUACAGGCAGUGAGGCCACCAUCAGCUGGAGCUCCAAUAAAGAUCAUGCCUGUAAUCCAAGCACUUUGGAGGCCAAGGCGGGCGGAUCACCUGAAGUUGGGAGUUCAAGACCAGCCUGACCAACAUGGUG